rnacentral:tRNA from 1 species
UGGGUUGUGGUUCAGUGGUAGAGCACUUGCCUGGCAUGCAUGAGGCUCUGGGUUCAAUCCUUAGCACCACAU